AAACAAAAAAAAGUCAUAGUAUAGUAUGGCGUCAAAAAACAUGAAAAAAAGUCAUAGUAUAGUAUGGCAUCAAAAAACAUGAAAAAAUAUCAUAGUAUAGUAUGGCGUCAAAAAUGGUCAAAAAAAAUCAUAGUAUAGUAUGGCGUCAAAAAACAUGAAAAAAAGUCAUAGUAUAGUAUGGCGUCAAAAAUGGUCAAAAAAAAUCAUAGUAUAGUAUGGCGUCAAAAAUGGUCAAAAAAAGUCAUAGUAUAGUAUGGCGUCAAAAAUGGUCAAAAAAAGUCAUAUUAUAGUAUGGCGUCAAAAAACAUGAAAAAAAGUCAUAGUAUC